rnacentral:lncRNA from 1 species
GUCGUUCGCCCAGGCUUUGGCCCGGCUUCCGGAGGGACUCCAAGCUCUACCAGACCUGCCUGAAGUGUUUUAAAGCACAUUUUCUUUUUGAAAAGAAACCUGUUGCUGCAGCUUAGCGCAUCUGUUCUCUGUGUCCAUGUGGGAGGAGAAUCCUGGCACCCUCAUCUAGUGAAAUGUUACCUAAAGCAAAGAUUUGCAGCCCUGGGUUGUUUUUUCCGUCCUGCAGUGUUUUUAGUUACUUCGAAGGAAUUUGCAAAACUGUUACAGAUAAUUUCAGUUCUUUUUGAUUUUUUGUAAAUGUUGUGCCUAUUUUUUAUGGAGUGAUAAAGCCUGCUGAGUGCGUUU